AAACGCGCUGGCAGGUUUGCUCCGCUGACGAUUGGGAAUGGUAGACCGGUAGAUGUACGGUUUGCUCUGUGUGCUGAGUGAUGUAUAUCCCGUCUAGGAAGCUACGUUGAGGAAGGACAGAAAAAUCCUCCUCUUCGUUUAAGAAGCCGGAGUUCCUCAGACCUUCAUCCUUGCCGUGCUUCAUCCCUCAGAAAUACCUCUUCCAUCUCUGGAAUUGCUGGAGCCGUUGAGAAGUCUCUGAAUCAGUUGCCCGUGCUUUUCUCUCCACCCAGCGAAAUAACUUCCUAUACAGCUUCUCCAAUCUGCAUAAUAGCUAGGAAUGGCCUUGAAGGACAGAGGGAAGAUCCUUUGCCAAGACUAUGGUCAGACUUCUUUUACACCAUGGAAUCUGAAGAUGCAGACGGGGUCCUCUGUGGUUACAGUGCUACCAUCAGUAAUCUUGACCAGUACUCUUCCUGUCUCCUCUGUGUGGUCAGGCAAGUAUGUGUGCAGCUGGAUUUGGGAAAUCAAACACUUUGAAGGAGAGCAAGAUAUUGCCCAUGGCAGGCAGACACAAUAGUUUAAUUUCUGAAUAUACCUUUCUUUGACUCAGUCUACACUGACAACAUUUUGUCAGUCUCUAGCAUCCUUUUCUGAAAAGGAUUGUGGAGAACAUGGUAGCAGUUCAAUCUCAGACAAUACUGGAAGUUUUAACAAUACAGUUUUAUUUUGAUUCUUUCCAGUCAAGUUUCAGACCCAGUUGUAGGACAGAAACAACUUUGGACACUCCAGUAGACAAUUGUCAAAAACUGGAUGGGGCAAUGCACCCACCGUGAUCUUAGACCUAUAUGCUAUUUCAUGCCACAUAGUUUAAAUUCAACAUUAGAAGCAGUCUCCAAAGAGAGCCAAAUCAUUAACUGGUUCAAAAUUGGUAAUAAGAUUCCUAACAAGACAAUGCUGUAAGUAAAAUUAUCUCUAUUCUGAAGUAAUUGAAUUGGCUGCCACCUGACUUCAGACCCAAAUCAAAGUGCUAGUCAUUUUAAAGUCCUUCUUGGCCCUAUACUGGAUUGUAUUGAACAAUAUCUUGGCAAGUUAGUAUGUGGCUGGCUAGUACAAACAUCUAGAGAGGUUGAGCCAACCUACCUCCCCUCGAUAAGAUCCAUGAGAAGUAGGACAAGAGGCUUUCUCUUCGUUACCCCUAGUGGUGAGGAUGGCCUCCUUCCAGAUAUUCGUGUUAUUCCAGCAGACCCCCAGUUUGUCCUUUUGUGUGUUUAAUUUUUUUUGUCUUUCUUUGGACUUAACUAUAAUUUUAACUCCUUACCCUGUAUUUGCCACUCAUAAUCCUAGUAUACAGGUGUAGCUUAUACUGUACAUGUGGUAAAUAAAUUAAUAACUAGAAGAUCUUCAGCCUUUUGAAGGUUGUAACUAAUUUUUAUUGUUAAAAAGAAAGCAAGCUUCUGGACCUUUGACAUUCUUUCAUGCAUCCAAUACAUUACUCAUGAUUCAAGAAAGGUAAACAAGGGAUUUGUAAAAGCAUGUAAUUUAAAAUCUAGCAUAUUUCUCUACUGGAAAAAAAGGUUGAUUCAAUCAAAUAUGUCAUCACACAUUUUUAGUAAUUUCUGAGUUCCCAGUCACUUGGAUCCCUGUCAGCAAGUUCAUGCACUUUCAUUUUCCCCUGUUUGCCCCAGGCUCUGAAUUUUUUUUUUUAAAAAAACCUGGUGACUAAGCGAUGUUAUGCCAGUAGCUGAUAAUUAGCUAAAUUUCAUAGAAACAGGUUAUAUAAUCCAAUAUGUUAUUAAUAUUGAGUUGUAUUUGUUGUUGCUUUUAUUGAGUGGCACGAUUGAUCUUGGGAAUAUGUACAUUCAUAGAAUUAUUGCAGCAUGAACUGGCAUUCAACUUUGCACUGAUGAAUAUUUCAAGCAGACUGCACGGUUUAUAUCACUAGACAUUGCAGAUGUUGAAAUAAUGACAUAAACAGAAAAUGAUGUGGAUUAUGUAAUAUUUCAGCUGUCGGGGAAGAUAUUCCUAUAUUUUCAAUAUAGGACCAAUAUUUUCAGGAAGGCUUAAAGGUCCACACUUAUGUAUAAUAAAAAUGAACUAAAACAGAAAAAUCUGUUUUACAAAUGCAUUUUACAAAAAUGAAUUUUACAUGCUUCUUGGAUGUUCAUAUAUGGCUUGAAUUAGGAAAUAUGGUAAAUAGAAUUAACUUGUCAUUUUUGAUAUCCUUAAAAGAAGCAACAUUUAUAGGAAAAGAGUUUUAAAAAAGCAUAAUGGCAAAUAAUAGCAUCACAAUGCAAGUGUUGCUCCUUUGAUACAUGUAUUCACAUUGUACAAAAGGGGCAAGGCUUUUAUCAUGGGGCUACAUAGGCCAUUUUGCUUUUUUUUAACCACCUCACUGACACUAUUGGAUGUAUCAUAUUUAUUUAUAAUACACAUACAUUAUCAAAUUUUAAUGCGUACAAACUAAAAAUAGAUACAUUAUGGUUCAGCCGAACAGUUUUAAUAUAUAAUUUUGUGUAGUAGACAUCUCU